AGCCGAAACCCCUUCGGGGGUUCGCAGGGAAUGGCCGCCCUGCGCUGAUGAGACAGGCCAAA
rnacentral:hammerhead_ribozyme from 1 species